rnacentral:rRNA from 1 species
AUACGGAGGAUGCAAGCGUUAUCCGGAUUCAUUGGGUUUAAAGGGAGCGUAGGCGGGAUAUCAAGUCAGCUGUGAAAUGUAGAUGCUCAACAUCUGCACUGCAGUUGAAACUGGUGUUCUUGAGUGCGUAAGAGGUAGGCGGAAUUCGUCGUGUAGCGGUGAAAUGCAUAGAUAUGACGAAGAACUCCGAUUGCGAAGGCAGCUUACUGGGCCGCAACUGACGCUGAAGCUCGAAGGUGCGGGUAUC